UACGAAGGGGGCGAGCGUUAUUCGGAUUUAUUGGGCGUAAAGGGCGCGUAGGCGGCUGGGCAAGUCCGGUGUGAAAUCGCUGCCGCUCAACGGAGCGAGGCCGCUGGAAACUGCCCGACUUGAGUCCAGGAGAGGCGAGCGGAAUGCCUGGUGUAGCGGUGGAAUGCUUAGAGAUCAGGCGGAACACCAGAGGCGAAGGCGGCUCGCUGGCCUGCGACUGACGCUGAGGCGCGAAAGCGUGGGGAGCAAACGGG
rnacentral:rRNA from 1 species